rnacentral:lncRNA from 13 species
AGAAUGAUCAUUAAACAGUAACAGAGAUAAGCAUCUUUUACUUACAAAUGUCCCGCUGUCAGUAAGCAUAUAACUGACCAAUCCAAGAUGCCAGUUGCUGGUUGGGUUCCAAGCAGAAUGUUGGAGUAUUCUCUGGAGUUUGUUGUGGCUUCAGAAUCCACGGUUACUGGGCAGCGCCCUGUGGUGGCUGUAGUGCCAUGGAGGAGCUGCCAUCCUCUGAGGGGCUGCGCCCUGGGCUGACCCUUGGGAAGCUGGGCAAAAUGGUGGUGGAGCUGCUGCCCGCUGACCUGAGUCCACAACUCUCCUUCUGCUAUCUUCAGGAGAAUACACUGGAACUGUCUGCUAUGGCUGAAGGCAACAUUUUUCAUGAAGCCACCAUGAUCUCCUUGAACAACAUAAUGUUAGAGCCACCAGUUACCUUGGAAGUAAGUUGUUAACAUGAUUGCUGUUGAUGGAUGACAUUCAUCCAAGGAAGAACUGAUCAGGCCUCUCGAAGUCAGACCAACCCAAAACAGAAGCUCAUAUCCUGCUUUAAUGAAUCCAUCACAUCAGAAUUUGGAACGUGUUGCAAACGUCUGAAUCUGCCACAACCUGCCUACAUGGGUUUUAGUAUUGACUACCACUGACAGUGUCCAUUGAAAUGAUAUGCAUAGUAGAUAAGGCUUUUUUUUCUAAUAUACUGAGGGAAUUGGAGGGCUAGUUAAAUAAUCACUGUAAUUAACACAUUUUUAUUUACAGCGCCCCUAUAGUCCCUACUGCCACACCUAGGAAUCAUAAACACAUAGGCUGUCAGCACAGGAAGAUGUCUGAGUGGUCAUCGCAGCCCAGUUCUCACUCUAUAGUUCUCUGAUUUGUCUUCUUAUCACAUUUUCAAGCAUCAGAAUUUUUGGUGGCACACUGGAAAGGCUCAGACAACUCACAAUCACCCCAAACAAAACAUCAAAAAUUGCAAUGCUGUCAUCCCAACAACAAAAAAAUGCCCGGAAAAACAAAGCCAUUCUCCCCUUCCCUGUCAGCCACCCUUCAUCCAGGCACCAGUUUGACCAAAACUCAUUUCUGCUGCAUCUCAGCUUGUCCUGACUAAACCCAAGCUCUCCUGGGCUUGAGCUGGAAAUGCUACUACUCGCCGCAAGCCUACCUGACUCCACGUCAUUCCCCACAACAGCUCAGCUCAAAUUCCUCCCAGUAGACACUACUGAAGACUAUCUCUCUGACUGGAGCAGUAUAAAUUCAUGUGAUGUAAAUCAGGCAACAGUCCUGUGAAUGAUACAGGAUACAUCAGAGUGCCAUGGCCUAGUGCUUAAGAAACACUCCUCCGCCCUAAUAAUAAAACACAGGGUGAAGACA